rnacentral:rRNA from 1 species
GAUGAACGCUGGCGGCGUGCCUAAUACAUGCAAGUCGAGCGAACAGACGAGGAGCUUGCUCCUCUGACGUUAGCGGCGGACGGGUGAGUAACACGUGGAUAACCUACCUAUAAGACUGGGAUAACUUCGGGAAACCGGAGCUAAUACCGGAUAAUUUAUUGAACCGCAUGGUUCAAUAGUGAAAGACGGUUUUGCUGUCACUUAUAGAUGGAUCCGCGCCGCAUUAGCUAGUUGGUAAGGUAACGGCUUACCAAGGCAACGAUGCGUAGCCGACCUGAGAGGGUGAUCGGCCACACUGGAACUGAGACACGGUCCAGACUCCUACGGGAGGCAGCAGUAGGGAAUCUUCCGCAAUGGGCGAAAGCCUGACGGAGCAACGCCGCGUGAGUGAUGAAGGUCUUCGGAUCGUAAAACUCUGUUAUUAGGGAAGAACAAAUGUGUAAGUAACUAUGCACGUCUUGACGGUACCUAAUCAGAAAGCCACGGCUAACCACGUG